rnacentral:rRNA from 1 species
AUUGAACGCUGGCGGCAGGCCUAACACAUGCAAGUCGAACGGUAACAGGAAGAAGCUUGCUUCUUUGCUGACGAGUGGCGGACGGGUGAGUAAUGUCUGGGAAACUGCCUGAUGGAGGGGGAUAACUACUGGAAACGGUAGCUAAUACCGCAUAACGUCGCAAGACCAAAGAGGGGGGACCUUCGGGCCUCUUGCCAUCGGAUGUGCCCAGAUGGGAUUAGCUAGUAGGUGGGGUAACGGCUCACCUAGGCGACGAUCCCUAGCUGGUCUGAGAGGAUGACCAGCCACACUGGAACUGAGACACGGUCCAGACUCCUACGGGAGGCAGCAGUGGGGAAUAUUGCACAAUGGGCGCAAGCCUGAUGCAGCCAUGCCGCGUGUAUGAAGAAGGCCUUCGGGUUGGUAAAGUACUUUACUAGCGGGGAGGAAGGGAGUAAGUUAAUACCUUAGUCUCAUUGACGUUACCG